rnacentral:tRNA from 1 species
GUCCCUGUAGUUCAAUAGGAUAGAACAGCGGACUUCUAAUCCGCAGGUUGUAGGUUCGAGUCCUACCAGGGAUA